rnacentral:lncRNA from 1 species
CUUGUAAGUUGACCAUAACUGUGAGAGGAAAGCAGACAGCUGUAUUGUGCAUCAGUUAUUUUUGUUUGCUACUCAAUACCUGUUGGAGCUUGUCUCGCUGCUGUUCUGAGUGUCAUCACCCUGAUUUAAUUUCGUCUUUGUUUGUUCUUCAUCCAAGCCUGCUCUCCGAUCAUGGAGCGUCACCAUGGAGUCCACUGCUACAGAAAUCGAAGACCUGGAAAACACCCCUUAUAAGUUUCUCAUAGGAGAACAGACUGAAAAAAUGUGGCAGCGCCUGAAAGGAAUGUGAGUAAGCUUUUUGCUUGGUUCCGUAUUAUUCCUCCCCGCCCUCCCUUCACGACACCCAAA